GUUGGGCGUGGUGGUGGGCGCCUGUAAUCCCAGCUACUCAGGAGGCUGAGGCAGGAGAAUCACUUGAGCCCAGGAGGUGGAGGUUGCAGUGAGCUGAAAUCGUGCCACUGCAUUCCAGCCUGGGCAACAGAGCGAGACUCUGUCUCAA
rnacentral:SRP_RNA from 1 species